UGGUUCCUAACAUCCUCCACUGUGAUGUCCUGGCGGGUCCCUGAGGCACACGCUGGGGACGAACAGAAGCGUGAUUUCCAAACCUCCACGCGUCAUCUCCUGUUCUGGGGCCUGAACAGGUGACACGUGUGCAGACGCCCGGGAUGACAGCUGGAGUGGGAACAGCCUGGGAUGCCUCCCGCGGGGGACAGCGUCAUUAUCACACCAAGGGCUGGCUGAGAGGGAGCAGACGUUCAUUACCAGGCCCGGUGUGAAGACCAUGUUGCUUUGGAAAA